CAGUGAACUGGAAUCAAGCCUAUCGCCAAUUCUUAUGUUUCGUACAAUAAGAGAUGAGGUGUAAAGGAGUUUCGUGUUGAACAGACGCACGGCCUAAAUAUUAUCGAGUGAGUUCUCAAAGAAGGUGAAAAGCCUGUUUGGUUGUGUCUGUCUGUUGAAUCGGAAUUCUUACGAGUCUAGUUGUUUGAGAGUACAACUUAAAGUUGGUGGUAAAUUUCAUCAAAGGCUAAAUAUAUGAGGGGACUAAUAGCGAACAAGUACCAUGAGGGAAAGUUGAAAAGAACUCUGACGAGAGAGUUCAACAGUGCGUGAAACCAUAUUGAGUAAAACAGAUAACUGUGUCGUUAUGCGGCGUGUCUAUCAACAGUAUAUCAGGUGUUGCGAUGCGGCGAGUGUGAGCUGUUUAUUCAGACGAUCGCUAGCCGUUAGCAUAGCUUGGGGUUCUGUGUACUAGUGCACGUCCAAUCAUUGAGAAACUAUGCUACUGCGGCAUCGGUGGUCAUCAGUCCGCGCCUAGCGCGAAGUUGACUAUUGGGCUCUGCUGGCGGCGUAGUUUAGCUGUGUGACAGCUGUGGAACGCGUUCGUUGAAUGUGCCUGCUUUGUCUACGGAUCGGUUUAUUCCUUUCUGUGGUGAGUAUGGUACA
rnacentral:rRNA from 1 species